rnacentral:lncRNA from 1 species
CUUUUAUACGUUGUUACCACAACGCUUCUACUGUAGGCUGAUGUAGGUUGUUACCAUCACACUGCUACUGUAGGCUGAUGUAGGUUGUUACCAUCACGCUGUUACUGUAGGCUGAUGUAGGUUUUUACCACACUGCUACUGUAGGCAUAUGUAGGUUGUUACCAUCACACUGCUUUUAUAGGUUGUUACCACCACGCUGCUACUGUAGGCUGAUGUAGGUUGUUACCAUCACACUGCUUUUAUAGGUUGUUACCACCACGCUGCUACUGUAGGCUGAUGUAGGUUGUUACCAUCACUGCUACUGUAGGCUGAUGUAGGUUGUUACCACCACACUGAUUCUGUAGGCUGGUGUAGGUUGUUACCAUCACCGCUACCUUAGGCUGAUGUAGGUUGUUACCAUCACCGCUACUGUAGGUUGAUGUAGGUUGU